AUUUUUUUGUUUGCCAUUGUUUGGCCCUGUAGCUUGCACACCUCACAGCCUACCAUGAUUAACAGAUCACAACCAUUUAAUACCAAUUUCUCUCCCUUAGCACCUGACCAUGAGGCAGGACAGCAACACCCUUCACCACCUCAACUCCCUACACCCGCAUUUAACAUGCAGAGAGUUACACAAGAAAUGGCAGUCCCUCCACAACUCCCUCCACACCAGCCCUCAACAUGCGGCGAACAGAGGAAGCCUGUUCCAGCCUGACAUACAGACCAACAUGGCGAGGGGGAAGAAUGGCCAAUACCAUUCCCUGCUCUGGUGAGCAAUAACUGACAAAUACUGGGGGGUCAUUCUGUGCCAAAGAUUUUGUAAAAAAAAAAAAAAGUCCCACAACCAUCACAUAUUUUCUUCAAACUUUGACAAUAACUUUUGUCAUUAACUAAUAUCAGUACUAUGAGUAAUGAGGAUAAACACUGAAACGUGAUAUAUUUUAUAUUUUAUACACUACGUUUUAGCUAUAUUUCAUGUUUGUCAACAGUGGCUGAGGUCCACAUCCUUAGCCUGCUGGAAACCAUUAAACAGCAACAAGACCAGCUUGUGGCAAAGGUGAACUACCUCAGCAGCAGGCUGAACAGCACCCUGAAAAUAUGCCUGAAAAUAUCCAGUUUCCCCUGGAACAAUUGGAGGCAGUGGAGGCAUUUGAAAUGUUUUUAAAGGAACCGUCAAAUGGCCCGGCUCGACAGAGAGUGGUGAGUUUUCUUAUUUAAUAUGAAUGGUGCCAUUAGGUUUAUUGAUUGUCCAUGAUUAUUGCAAAUAUUCUAUUGUAUUUAUUCUAUUGUAUUUAUUUGUCCUAUUUGUAAUUCGAUUAUUUGUUCUUAUUUUGUUACUGACUGCUUGUCUUUACUAAUGUUUUAAAUUCACAUUAAUUAGGCUGGUAGUUUUUGUUGUAGUUUUGUUGUAGACCUUGCUUUUCAGUAAUUAUAUAAUACAAAGUAAUAUUAAAUACGUUCAAAGUCACUAGUUUGUAAAUGUUAGGGCAGCCUUAAAAAUCGGAGCAACCAUCUUACCAAUAUGACCGUGUAGCCUUUUUUUUUUUUUUAGAAUGGCUACUAUACCAUAGACUUUUUUGACAUUUUGUGAUGUAUCUAUUCAAAGA
ensembl:lncRNA